rnacentral:rRNA from 1 species
UGAAGAAGGCCUUCGGGUUGUAAAGCACUUUUGUCCGGAAAGAAAACCUCUGGGUUAAUACCUCUGGGGGAUGACGGUACCGGUAGAAUAAGCACCGGCUAACUACGUGC